rnacentral:miRNA from 1 species
GCAGCAGAGAAUAGGACUA